rnacentral:rRNA from 1 species
CUUUGUGGCAAUCUUGUCAGAUCUCAGAUGCUAAGCAGGGUUGGGCCUGGUUAGUACUUCGGAGAGCCCUGGGAAUUCCUGGUGCCACAGUGG